rnacentral:rRNA from 1 species
UACGUAGGAUGCAAGCGUUGUCCGGAAUUAUUGGGCGUAAAGAGCGCGCAGGCGGUCUGACAAGUCAGAUGUGAAAGAAGCCGGCUUAACCGGCAAGGGUCAUUUGAAACUGUCAGACUAGGAGUGCACAAGAGGAUAGGUAGGUCGAAUUCCCGGUGUAGGUGGUAGAAAUGCGUAGAUAGUCGGAGGAACACCAGUGGCGAAGGCGACUAUCUGGGGUGCAACUGGACGCUGAGGCGGCGAAGGCUAGGGUAGCAAACAGG